rnacentral:rRNA from 1 species
GGGUGAGUAAUAUAUCGGAACGUGCCCAGUCGUGGGGGAUAACGCAGCGAAAGCUGUGCUAAUACCGCAUACGAUCUCUGGAUGAAAGCGGGGGACUCGCAAGAGCCUCGCGCGAUUGGAGCGGCCGAUAUCAGAUUAGCUAGUUGGCGGGGUAAAAGCCCACCAAGGCGACGAUCUGUAGCUGGUCUGAGAGGACGACCAGCCACACUGGAACUGAGACACGGUCCAGACUCCUACGGGAGGCAGCAGUGGGGAAUUUUGGACAAUGGGCGAAAGCCUGAUCCAGCAAUGCCGCGUGCAGGAUGAAGGCCUUCGGGUUGUAAACUGCUUUUGUACGGAACGAAACGGUUCUCUUUAAUAAAGGGGGCUAAUGACGGUACCGUAAGAAUAAGCACCGGCUAACUACGUGCCAGCAGCCGCGGUAAUACGUAGGGUGCGAGCGUUAAUCGGAAUUACUGGGCGUAAAGCGUGCGCAGGCGGUGAUGUAAGACAGAUGUGAAAUCCCCGGGCUCAACCUGGGACCUGCAUUUGUGACUGCAUCGCUAGAGUACGGUAGAGGGGGAUGGAAUUCCGCGUGUAGCAGUGAAAUGCGUAGAUAUGCGGAGGAACACCGAUGGCGAAGGCAAUCCCCUGGACCUGUACUGACGCUC